rnacentral:rRNA from 1 species
GGGCCCGCACAAGCAGCGGAGCAUGUGGUUUAAUUCGAAGCAACGCGAAGAACCUUACCAGGUCUUGACAUCGAUCUAAUCUCCUAGAGAUAGGAGGUCCCUUCGGGGGAGAGAAGACAGGUGGUGCAUGGUUGUCGUCAGCUCGUGUCGUGAGAUGUUGGGUUAAGUCCCGCAACGAGCGCAACCCUUAUUAUCAGUUACUAACGGGCAAUGCCGAGGACUCUGAUGAGACUGCCGGGGACAACUCGGAGGAAGGUGGGGACGACGUCAAAUCAUCAUGCCCCUUAUGACCUGGGCUACACACGUGCUACAAUGGUGUUAACAAAGAGGCGCGAACUCGUAAGGGCGAGCGGAUCUCAAAAAAGACAUCCCAGUUCGGAUUGUGGGCUGCAACCCGCCCACAUGAAGUUGGAGUUGCUAGUAAUCGCGAAUCAGCAUGUCGCGGUGAAUACGUUCCCGGGCCUU